rnacentral:rRNA from 1 species
GUGCCAGCGGCUGCGGUAAUACGUAGGUGGCAAGCGUUGUCCGGAUUUAUUGGGCGUAAAGCGAGCGCAGGCGGCUCUUUAAGUCUGAUGUGAAAGCCCCCCGGCUCAACCGGGGAGGGUCAUUGGAAACUGGGGAACUUGAGUGCAGAAGAGGAGAGUGGAAUUCCAUGUGUAGCGGUGAAAUGCGUAAGAUAUAUGGAGAACACCAGUGGCGAAGGCGGCUCUCUGGUCUGUAACUGACGCUGAGGUUCGAAAGCGUGGGUAGCAAACAGGAUU